AUUGAACGCUGGCGGAAUGCUUUGCACAUGCAAGUCGAACGGCAGCGGGGGAGAAGCUUGCUUUUCCUGCCGGCGAGUGGCGAACGGGUGAGUAAUACAUCGGAACGUGCCCUGUAGUGGGGGAUAACUAGUCGAAAGAUUAGCUAAUACCGCAUACGACCUGAGGGUGAAAGUGGGGGACCGCAAGGCCUCAUGCUAUAGGAGCGGCCGAUGUCUGAUUAGCUAGUUGGUGGGGUAAAGGCCUACCAAGGCGACGAUCAGUAGCUGGUCUGAGAGGACGAUCAGCCACACUGGGACUGAGACACGGCCCAGACUCCUACGGGAGGCAGCAGUGGGGAAUUUUGGACAAUGGGCGAAAGCCUGAUCCAGCAAUGCCGCGUGUGUGAAGAAGGCCUUCGGGUUGUAAAGCACUUUUGUCCGGAAAGAAAUGGCUCUGGUUAAUACCUGGGGUCGAUGACGGUACCGGAAGAAUAAGGACCGGCUAACUACGUGCCAGCCGCCGCCGUAA
rnacentral:rRNA from 1 species